GAGUUUGAUCCUGGCUCAGGAUGAACGCUGGCGGCGUGCCUAAUACAUGCAAGUCGAGCGAACGGACGAGAAGCUUGCUUCUCUGAUGUUAGCGGCGGACGGGUGAGUAACACGUGGAUAACCUACCUAUAAGACUGGGAUAACUUCGGGAAACCGUAGCUAAUACCGGAUAAUAUUUUGAACCGCAUGGUUCAAAAGUGAAAGACGGUCUUGCUGUCACUUAUAGAUGGAUCCGCGCUGCAUUAGCUAGUUGGUAAGGUAACGGCUUACCAAGGCAACGAUGCAUAGCCGACCUGAGAGGGUGAUCGGCCACACUGGAACUGAGACACGGUCCAGACUCCUACGGGAGGCAGCAGUAGGGAAUCUUCCGCAAUGGGCGAAAGCCUGACGGAGCAACGCCGCGUGAGUGAUGAAGGUCUUCGGAUCGUAAAACUCUGUUAUUAGGGAAGAACAUAUGUGUAAGUAACUGUGCACAUCUUGACGGUACCUAAUCAGAAAGCCACGGCUAACUACGUGCCAGCAGCCGCGGUAAUACGUAGGUGGCAAGCGUUAUCCGGAAUUAUUGGGCGUAAAGCGCGCGUAGGCGGUUUUUUAAGUCUGAUGUGAAAGCCCACGGCUCAACCGUGGAGGGUCAUUGGAAACUGGAAAACUUGAGUGCAGAAGAGGAAAGUGGAAUUCCAUGUGUAGCGGUGAAAUGCGCAGAGAUAUGGAGGAACACCAGUGGCGAAGGCGACUUUCUGGUCUGUAACUGACGCUGAUGUGCGAAAGCGUGGGGAUCAAACAGGAUUAGAUACCCUGGUAGUCCACGCCGUAAACGAUGAGUGCUAAGUGUUAGGGGGUUUCCGCCCCUUAGUGCUGCAGCUAACGCAUUAAGCACUCCGCCUGGGGAGUACGACCGCAAGGUUGAAACUCAAAGGAAUUGACGGGGACCCGCACAAGCGGUGGAGCAUGUGGUUUAAUUCGAAGCAACGCGAAGAACCUUACCAAAUCUUGACAUCCUUUGACAACUCUAGAGAUAGAGCCUUCCCCUUCGGGGGACAAAGUGACAGGUGGUGCAUGGUUGUCGUCAGCUCGUGUCGUGAGAUGUUGGGUUAAGUCCCGCAACGAGCGCAACCCUUAAGCUUAGUUGCCAUCAUUAAGUUGGGCACUCUAAGUUGACUGCCGGUGACAAACCGGAGGAAGGUGGGGAUGACGUCAAAUCAUCAUGCCCCUUAUGAUUUGGGCUACACACGUGCUACAAUGGACAAUACAAAGGGCAGCGAAACCGCGAGGUCAAGCAAAUCCCAUAAAGUUGUUCUCAGUUCGGAUUGUAGUCUGCAACUCGACUACAUGAAGCUGGAAUCGCUAGUAAUCGUAGAUCAGCAUGCUACGGUGAAUACGUUCCCGGGUCUUGUACACACCGCCCGUCACACCACGAGAGUUUGUAACACCCGAAGCCGGUGGAGUAACCUUUUAGGAGCUAGCCGUCGAAGGUGGGACAAAUGAUUGGGGUGAAGUCGUAACAAGGUAGCCGUAUCGGAAGGUGCGGCUGGAUCACC
rnacentral:rRNA from 1 species